CUUUACAAAUGUCAAGUUUAUUCAAAUUACAGCUUAAAUACUUUUUUCCCUUAAUGGACCUGUCCGUACACACUCAAGGUGUACAACUGAUAUUUAAAGCAUUUGGCACCGGCUGUGUAAAUAUGUUGUGCCAAACAACUUAUGAGCGUGUAUGUGGACAAUAUGUGUUUGUUUUUCAGGUUGAAGUUGCCCUCCAUCCAGCCCUCCUCAAGAGUAGGAGUGAGGAGAAUGAUAUCAAGUCAAAUGUGUGUAUUUACAGGAAAAGUGUGGUCGAAAUGACGGGUCGCCACUGCUCUGUGGGUUAACUGAGACCUGCCUUGCAUGUAACAUCAGUGGAUCAAUCCUCUAUACGUUGUCAAGGAUGAAGAAUAAUGAGUAAAAACGCUGUCCAAGCUCUGUCCCAAUCCCAAACUAAUAUCACCCAGGAAUACACUGGGUACGACACCUCUCCUUCAGCUCUCCACCUUUCCUUUCCUCUCUUCUUCUCUCCACUCUCAUCCCAACCUAGGUCAAGUGACCUUCUCUGUUCGCAAUGGCAUCAGUGACGGAACUAGAGUUUUAUACAUGGGGUGGCCAAGGUUACUUCAGGGGGUCCAUAGACCAAUUCAGAAAAUGUGUGUAUAACCCUAAGCUGGCAUCUAAGGAGCAUGAAUGAAUCCUAUGAUUGCUGAUUAGAGGUAGAAGUGAUAAUUCACUUAACCUGGAGUUCUUCGAUGUGGCAGAUAGUGUGGUCCAAAAGGGUUACUUCACUAGAAUACUUUAACAUACUAUGAAUAGUCAGUGUCUCUACCUCGGAACUGCAGCUCAAUUUCUUUCUCUCACACACACACUGUACUGUACUCACAUACUGAAGAGACUUAGGUCACUCUGUUUUCAUGAAUAUAUGAUCUGGGUCUUUAAGUGUUGAACAUCUAAAAUAUUUUCAGAAAAUAAAUCUCAAGCACCAAGGAGAUAAGAUAGCAUGUUUGUUACAUAAAUUGCAUAGUUUAUUUACAAAAAAACACUGCAAUUUGACAUACCAGGUACCAAACAGAAAUGGACUUCAAAAAUAUAAAUAAUUUUGGUGCCCAUCAAUAUUACAAACUUACAGUAACAUACUUAUUCUCAUAGAUAUAUUAUGUUAACUAAUAGCAAAGAAAACUUUUGGAAUUGGCCAAAUCAAGACCAAAUUAAAACUGUGUGACAUGAUACCCUUUGGAUUUAUAAUUUUAGAAUGUCAGUGUACUAGCUAGUACACAGUGCAGGUUUUAAUCAUGACCAGAGAGACCACCUAAGUGCCAAAUUAUCAUAGGUAGAUUUAAAAUGGCAUAAUUCUGAUGUUCUGGUGAGAACUGGCAAAAUGUUUCACAAACUCAUCCAUGUUGAGGGAGCGUGCCCUCCUUGACUCAACAGAUAAUUUUUAGGUGACAACCUGUCAUCAACCAUUGUUGUUCUAAGGUGGGUUUUAAUCUGUUUUAAAGCUGAGAAGCUUCUCUCGCAAGAAGCACUGCUGACUGGUGUAACAACAGAAAUCUUACGUCUAAAUAGCUCAAGGAAGACCUCUUUAUAAGGUUCGAGAAACACAACAAAGUCAAGGAGAGUAGACAGUCUGUCCCUUCCACUUUUGUCUCUCCAAUCAAGAAGCCACUUGGUUUGAUGAACCUCAUGUUUGAGGUCCUCUACAUCUGACUCAAAGGUCGGAGCUCAGGCAAACAGAGGCUCCUCAUUCAUGUAUGUUGUACUCUUUGGGUUGAGAGACUGAACCCCUUGCAUUAUCUCGCAAUUCUUCUUUGAAAAACGCCUCUGCAGCUCAGCUGUGAGACUGUCAAGCACCUGAUAAAAGAUAGCUCUUUGGAAGCUCUCACCAUCACUUUGGUCACAAUUUUUCUGUCCUACAGUGCUCAUUGUCGAGUCGUGAAAUCUUAAGCUUGUUUUAGGCUGUCUUUUACACACUGUUUGUACACUUAUUUUGCAAUGCUCUGCAAUCUCUUUCCAUAGUUCUUCAAAGUAACCCUCACUUCUGUAGUCCUGUAAUGUGUCUGUAAGGGCACCUACUAGAUCCACAGCCCUUGUUAGGUCAAGAGAGAUUGAUUGGAGCAUGUCAGAAAGACAUUUGGCAUCACCAAGCACUUUACAAAUGGUAACCAAGAGCCCUAUGAAAUGUAAAUCUGUCUGAGAAAGAAGGCCCCUUGCCUCCACUGAUCUAUCACCACUAUUUUCAAGUGUGAUAUGUCUCCUGUCUCAGCCUCCAGUAUUUAUGCUACAGUAGUUUAUGCGUCGGGGGGCUAGGAUCAGUCUGUUAUAUCUGGAGCAUUUCUCCUGUCUUAUUCAGUGUCCUGUGUGAAUUUAAGUAUGCUCUCCCUAAUUCCCUCUUUCUUUCUCUCUGAGGACCUGAGCCCUAGGACCAUGCCUGAGGAAUACCUGGCCUGGUGACUCCUUGCUGUCCCCAGUCCACCUGGCCGUGCUGCUGCUCCAGUUUCAACUGUUCUGCCUGCAGCUAUGGAACCCUGACCUGUUCACUGGGCGUGCUACCUGUGGCUUGUGUACUUAGCAUUGCCACAUGCAUUCAUCAUUUUCUCUAUGAGAAGGUCAUACUUUGCUAUUUCCUCUAAGAUUGUCAAAAAAAUUACAGUUGUGAGAGUCAGACUCUCUCUGACCUCUCUGAGCUAUAUUUUGAGUGGCAGUUAAUAGGAGCACAUCUGCAAUUGUUUUAAUGUAAGUACAGUUUUCCUCCACUUUCUUUUUCCAGUCCUCAUUUCUGACAUCCAACAUUGAGUUGCUGUCAAUAGCCCUUUUAUGCUGAUUCCAAGCAUACAUAGCAUUGAUAUGAUGCUCUGCCUUCGAAUGGAACUUAAACCCAGAAUCUUUAAACAGCACCUUUUUCCAGUUACAGAAACCUGACUGAUAUGAAGGCAGAUUCAGGUGUAUUGGGCAGAGAAAAAUGCCUACAGGCAAAACAAUAAGUUGAAUGUUGACUUAGAAUAUUCAAGGCAUGAUUUGUCCUUACACCAGGAGCUGUUGAAAGCCCUUUUCCUAGUACCAUGCUGAGUUCUGGGAAAUGUUUUCAAUCAUGGCUGUACAGGACCCUCUUCUCUGGAUCUUGAAAUACAUGUUAAAUAAUAUGUUAUAUCUCCAUGUAAAUGUAUAAUUAAG
ensembl:lncRNA